UACAGAGGGGGCAAGCGUUGUUCGGAAUUACUGGGCGUAAAGGGCGCGUAGGCGGCCUCUUAAGUCGAACGUGAAAUCCCCGGGCUCAACCCGGGAACUGCGUCCGAUACUGGGGGGCUUGAAUCCGGGAGAGGGAUGUGGAAUUCCAGGUGUAGCGGUGAAAUGCUUAGAUAUGACAUAGAACACCAAUUGCGAAGGCAGCUCGCUACACAUAUAUUGACUCUGAGGCACGAAAGCGUGGGGAUCAAACAGG
rnacentral:rRNA from 1 species